rnacentral:rRNA from 1 species
UACGGGGGGAGCAAGCGUUGUUCGGAUUUACUGGCGUAAAGGGCGCGUAGGCGGUCAGCACAAGUCAGUUGUGAAAUCUCCGGGCUUAACUCGGAAAGGUCAACUGAUAUUGUGCGACUAGAGUGCAGAAGGGGCAACUGGAAUUCUCGGUGUAGCGGUGAAAUGCGUAGAUAUCGAGAGGAACACCUGCGGCGAAGGCGGGUUGCUGGGCUGACACUGACGCUGAUGCGCGAAAGCCAGGGGAGCGAACGGG